rnacentral:rRNA from 1 species
AUGUUGCUAUACCUCUCGAGCCAUCGUCCCGUCAUCCUCGGACGCCCGCAGCACCCGCCCAUGCGCCUGCCCACAUUGGACUACGACGCCAUCCACCCAGGAUCCAUUUGUAACAUGGCAUGGGGCUCAAUCUUUUGGCAAAAUGUGCAUGCUUCGUUUCAUGAGCAAACGCAUGAUGAGCCCUAUGACCUGCACGUGAUCCAUGAUCCCAAUAUGAAGUCGCUAGCCCAUCAAUGGUACACCAUCUCCAUUUUUGUCGCGAAUUUUUGUGGUGUGAUUGCACAAAAUGAGAGAAGGUGGCCACGGGCUCGCAAACCAUUGAGAUUUACGCGGACAAAUAUGAUGUCUGUUUUCCAUGUCGACGUUGGAGAUGCCCUAAGAAAACUGCCUAUAAGAUCAAAUGAUCAACAUUGCGUGCUGAUCGGUGAACACCCCAACUCGCCCUCCAAGAAAUCCCUAGAAGCAAGAAAGCAACGCAACCUAAAACCCCAAUGCGCUUUGGACCUCGCCGCGCCGAUGCCCAUCCCCUCCCGACCGCCCUGUCCCAAUGGAGUCACCGUCGGCGGGCACCGUGUGACCCGCCUACCCGGCAUGCCCGGGGUGCCCUACCCAGCAGCCUGUCCCACCUGCCCGUCCGUGAGCGGAGGCGGCAACGACAGCUGUGGGAUCCCUGCUACGAUCUCCGGUGGAGGCGGCGCCACCCUCGCGUUGGUCGUUGUCCAGAUCCAUAAGUGUGUCUACGACAAGAAGCCAGCAGCAACACUGGAAGUCGCGACUCCUCCACCAGCUCCUCUUCCGGCGCGUCACUCCUCCUCUCGCUCUGCCUCCGGCGGCGGCGACUCUAGUGUUGCAUCAGAAUUCGCACGACCGGGCCAUCGCUCCUCCUCUGGCGGCUUCAGCACUGCAUCAGCCGUCGAGGUGUACCCGCAGCCGCUGCAGGGCUUCUACUCAUUGCCCCCCUGCAGGCACCUGUCACGUACGAGGUGGAUCCGGAGGAUGCGGAGGUUGCGGCGUCGUCUUCAGUCUGCAACAUCAUGUGACUUGCUUCUCCAAGUACAGACCGCCUCGACUACUACUACGCCUACGUAUCGAUCUGCAUGCAGCGUCCUCCUCCUCCUCCUACAGUACUGGUAUUGUGUCAGCUCUACCCAACCACUCCCCAGCCGGCGCAUCCCCACCCCACCUCCCGCACGGCACCUACCCCCUCCUGCCCCGAUCCAAACCCCCACCUCCCUCCACCUUCUACCACCGCCGCUGCUAGACCACCGGUCUCCGUCUCGCUGCCCCGCCCCUGUCCACCUUCUGCCGCCGCCAGAGCACCGCCGUAGGUUGCCACCCGCCGCGCCACUCCAUCUCCUUCUACCGUCGCCCCUGCCACACCGCCCCUCCCAUGCAUCGCUUUGCCCAACCCAGUUCCCUAGUGUGCCACUACUCCUCCCCGCAACCACCUGCUUGUCCUCUUCGGCGCAGCCCAAGCGAUCCUGGCGGCCCUCCGAGGACUGGCCGUUCCUCUAUGGGCCAGAUCCGGCGAGAUUUUACCAAUCCCGCACCUCCUCGAGCCAGAUCCGAGCUGCCUCGGGGUCCUCCUCUCCGUCCACGGCCAGACGCAGGCCAGCCUCGUCGUCUCCUACCUCCGCCGGGAACGGGAUCCCCGCUCACGUGCCCCCCAGCUUCUCUUCCGGCCAGGACAAACGGCCUCGAUGCAGCUCUUCGGUGGGUGAAGUGCGGUCCACGACGAGCGCCAAUGCAGUGCGGUGCUCUCCAAUUCUUCAGAUUUGUUUUGGGCAAUUCAGUUUGGAGCUUCGCGUCCGCCCCACAGCCUCGGUGGUCUCCCACCUCCCUACUUCCAUCCUCGGCGGCCGACCCACAACUGAGGACGCACGGUUCCAGCCACCUGCCCCUCCCCACGCCGAUGCGCUGGACGACAACAGCACAACAGCACCGGAGGUGAGCGCCCUCCUCUCUCUCCUUUCCUUCUUCCUCCUCAUCUCUCCCUCACAUCUCGCUUGUGCCCCGCAGGUGGCGACAUGGCCAUCUCAAUCUUGUCCUUGCGCCACACCAUGGACCCCGUUCGAUAGCGACCUCCCCGACGACCAAGUGUUGCAGCCCACUUUUUUCUUUUUGCAAUUCGCAUGUUAA